rnacentral:rRNA from 1 species
CAUGCAAGUCGAGGGGCAUCAUUUCCUUAGGGAAGAUGGCGACCGGCGAACGGGUGCGUAACGCGUAUACGAUCUACCUUGUACAGGGGGAUAGGCUUUAGAAAUGAAGAUUAAUACCGCAUGUUAUAUAUGGUAUUCAUGUACUAUAUAUCAAAGAAUUGAUUCGGUACAAGAUGAGUAUGCGUCCUAUUAGCUAGAUGGUAAGGUAAUGGCUUACCAUGGCGACGAUAGGUAGGGGUUCUGAGAGGAUUACCCCCCACACUGGUACUGAGACACGGACCAGACUCCUACGGGAGGCAGCAGUGAGGAAUCUUGGUCAAUGGGCGGAAGCCUGAACCAGCCAUGCCGCGUGCAGGAAGACGGUCUUAUGGAUUGUAAACUGCUUUUUUGCAGGAAGAAACGAUGGUACGCGUACCAUUUUGACGGUACUGUAAGAAUAAGCACCGGCUAACUCCGUGCCAGCAGCCGCGGUAAUACGGAGGGUGCAAGCGUUAUCCGGACUUAUUGGGUUUAAAGGGUCCGCAGGCUGUUUAUUAAGUCAGAGGUGAAAUGCUGUAGCUUAACUAUAGUUGUGCCUUUGAUACUGGUAGGCUUGAGUGAUAUAGAAGUAGGAAGAAUGUGUAGUGUAGCGGUGAAAUGCAUAGAUAUUACACAGAAUACCGAUUGCGAAAGCCUCCUACUAUGUAUGUACUGACGCUGAUGGACGAAAGCGUGGGUAGCGAACAGGAUUAGAUACCCUGGUAGUCCACGCCGUAAACGAUGGACACUAGUUGUUGGUUACAAGAUCAGUGACUAAGCGAAAGUGAUAAGUGUCCCACCUGGGGAGUACGAUCGCAAGAUUGAAACUCAAAGGAAUUGACGGGGGCCCGCACAAGCGGUGGAGCAUGUGGUUUAAUUCGAUGAUACGCGAGGAACCUUUAC